UACCACCCUGAACAUGCCCAAUCUUGUCUGAUCUUGGAAGCCAAGCAGGGUCACGCCUGGGUGGUACUUGGAU
rnacentral:rRNA from 1 species